rnacentral:rRNA from 1 species
UACGUAGGGACCAAGCGUUGUUCGGAUUUACUGGGCGUAAAGGGCGCGUAGGCGGCUUAACAAGUCACUUGUGAAAUCUCUGGGCUUAACCCAGAACGGCCAAGUGAAACUGUUAUGCUAGAGUGCAGAAGGGGCAAUCGGAAUUCUUGGUGUAGCGGUGAAAUGCGUAGAUAUCAAGAGGAACACCUGAGGUGAAGACGGCAUCCUGGACCGGUAUUGACGCUGAGGAGCGAAAGCCAGGGGAGCAAACGGG